CGUCCUAAAUUAAACUACAACCGAAAUAUUCUGAGCGAUUUUCAGAUUUUCUAGCCUUAAAAACACCAUAUUCCUACUAGAAGACUAACUCAAGGAAAAGAUGUUCGUAUACCCCUUGGCCAUCAGAGAAUCAGGAAGUGGGUUGUCUUUACAGUCAAACCGGAUAUUCUGUUCCCCGCAAUGUUGCAACAUUGCCAACAAUAUUGCAAAUUUCAUUGCAACUGGAAAUUGCAAGUUCCCUCGCAAGUGUAAAUAAAUACAUUUAAUUCAAUAUUUUGCGUCAACGCCCCCACCGCAGCCCGGUAUGUUCCGGACCUGGUACGAGAUCCACCGGGCAGAUCCUAGUUCAGGACAGGGGCUGAAAGGGGCGCCAAUUUGGUAACCAAAGGCAAAAGCGAAGAAUUUUCAUUGCGUAUAAACUUACGCAGCGAGCUCGUCAAUGAGUGAAAAAGAGCCAGGUUUUUUUUUGCAAGACCGAUGACCAUCUACGAGGCCAAGUCAAUUGCGGAAGAUAACAUUUCACUUAACAACAUUCUUAUCCCCAGAGUCGUUUUCCUUACCCCGUAUCUCGUGAGGAGAACACAGACUCAUAGUUGCGUGCUUUCAAUAGGGGAAACAUUUAACAGGCGGAGUUGAUGCAGAACAUAGAGACCUCACAAAAAAUUCCACCUCAUAAUAUAUAGCAAAUAUAGAACACUGUAAAAUAUUCCAAAAUCCAAAUCUGGUGCAUAUAAAACAAACCCUAAAUGCGUAUACUUCUAAACAAUCAGCAGAAGCUGAGAUAGGGAGAUAAUAUUAAUAUCGCAUGUACUACAGAGAACCUUCUGGUGCAUGUACCACUGAGAACCUUCUGGUGCAUGUACCACUGAGAACCUUCUGGUGCAUGUACCACUGAGAACCUUCUGGUGCAUGUACCACUGAGAACCUUCUGGUGCAUGUACCACUGAGAACCUUCUGGUGCAUGUACCACUGAGAACCUUCUGGUGCAUGUACCACAGAGAACCUUCUGGUGCAUGUACCACUGAGAACCUUCUGGUGCAUGUACCACUGAGAACCUUCUGGUGCAUGUACCACAGAGAACCUUCUGGUGCAUGUACCACUGAGAACCUUCUGGUGCAUGUACCACUGAGAACCUUCUGGUGCAUGUACCACUGAGAUCAAUGUGUACUCCUAUACAUUGUUCCUAGUCAAGGGCGAGUGAACAUUAUGAAAUGCCAAAAGCCUGCUUUGCAUGGAGAGGAAAACUUAAUCCACAUAUUUCUUGAUAUUAAAAAUCUCUAAGAAACUCAAAAAAGCGAAUCCGCUGUAAAAAUAUAAGACUAUAGACACGUCUGUUACAAA